rnacentral:rRNA from 1 species
AGCGAACGCUGGCGGCAGGCCUAACACAUGCAAGUCGAACGGACCCUUCGGGGUUAGUGGCGGACGGGUGAGUAACACGUGGGAACGUGCCUUUAGGUUCGGAAUAGCUCCUGGAAACGGGUGGUAAUGCCGAAUGUGCCCUUCGGGGGAAAGAUUUAUCGCCUUUAGAGCGGCCCGCGUCUGAUUAGCUUGUUGGUGGGGUAAUGGCCCACCAAGGCUACGAUCAGUAGCUGGUCUGAGAGGAUGACCAGCCACAUUGGGACUGAGACACGGCCCAAACUCCCACGGGAGGCAGCAGUGGGGAAUCUUGCGCAAUGGGCGAAAGCCUGACGCAGCCAUGCCGCGUGUAUGAUGAAGGUCUUAGGAUUGUAAAAUACUUUCACCGGUGAAGAUAAUGACUGUAGCCGGAGAAGAAGCCCCGGCUAACUUCGUGCCAGCAGCCGCGGUAAUACGAAGGGGGCUAGCGUUGCUCGGAAUUACUGGGCGUAAAGGGAGCGUAGGCGGACAUUUAAGUC